GGAACGAACGCUGGCGGCAUGCCUAAUACAUGCAAGUCGAACGAACUCUUCGGAGUUAGUGGCGCACGGGUGCGUAACGCGUGGGAAUCUGCCCCUUGGUUCGGAAUAACAGUUGGAAACGACUGCUAAUACCGGAUGAUGACGAAAGUCCAAAGAUUUAUCGCCAAGGGAUGAGCCCGCGUAGGAUUAGCUAGUUGGUGAGGUAAAGGCUCGACCAAGGCAACGAUCCUUAGCUGGU
rnacentral:rRNA from 1 species